UGACUGGACGUCUUUUAUCUUUCUCUCUUACCCUAGAAUUGCUUACCCUCCCCCCAACCUAUUUUCUCUCUCUACUCUCCCUUAUUUUCUCUCUCUAAUUUCCCGUUUUAGAAAACCCUAGAUCUCGCCUCACGAUGUACGGCGGUGGCGGUGAAUCCAAUCCUCCUCCCUCAGGUGGAGGCUACGGAGGUGGUUAUGGAGGAGGCGGAUAUGGAAGUGGAGGCGGCGGAAGCUAUGGAGGCGGUGGUGGCCGAGGCGGCGGGGGUGGAGGAGGUUAUGGUGGCGGUAGCAGAGGUGGCGGAUAUGGCGGUAAUUCUGACAGUCGAGGCGGUGGAUAUCAAGGAGGAGGUGAUCGUGGAGGCCGUGGCGGGGGAAGAGGAGGAGGUGGCAGAGAUGGAGGCGGCGGCCGUGGAGGAAGUGGAAGAGACGGCGAUUGGCCUUGCCCUAAUCCAGGUUGCGGAAACUUGAACUUUGCGAGAAGAACAUCUUGUAACAAAUGUGGGGAACCUGCUCCUGCGGGCGGUGGUGGAGGUGGAGGUGGAGGUGGUGACCGCAGAGGCGGAGGUGGAGAAGGUGGCUAUAGUAGAGGAGGCAGUGGAGGAUAUGGAGGUGAUAGAGGGGAUAGGGGUAGGGAUAACAAUUAUGAUGGUGGAAGAGGAGGUAGCAGAGGUGGUUCUUAUGGUGAUGGUCAGGGUAGAAAUGAUGGAGGAUAUGGCCAGGCUCCUCCACCUGCAACUUCUUAUGGUGGAGCUGUGCCAAGCCCUUAUGGAGCAAACCCUGCAUAUGGGAAUGACUCUGCUGUCCCGCCACCAACAAGCUAUACUGGUGGGCCUGGAUCUUAUCCUCCAUCAUAUGGAGGACCUGCCGGUUCUGGCCGCGGCGGUCCACCUAGUGGUGGGUAUGGUGGUGAUGCUUCUGGAGAUUAUCGCGGUGCUGGACGCGGUGGUCCACCUAGUGGUGGGUAUGGCGGUGGUCAAAGGCAGCCGAGUGGUGGUUAUGGUGGCGAUGCUCCAACAUCUGCUGAACCUGCAAAAGUGAAACAAUGUGAUGAAAACUGCGGAGAUUCUUGUGACAACUCUAGGAUUUAUAUCUCAAAUUUGCCACCAGAUGUUGCUGUUGAAGAACUCAGAGAACUUUUUGGAAGCAUUGGAACUGUCGCAAGAAUCAAGCAAAAGAGGGGAUACAAGGAUCAGUGGCCUUACAGUAUAAAACUAUACACAGAUGACAGUGGAAAGAACAAGGGUGAUGGUGUUCUGUCAUACGAGGACCCAUCAGCAGCUCAUUCUGCCGGGGGCUUUUUUAAUGGUCACGAUAUCAGAGGAUACAAGAUUAAUGUUUCCAUGGCAGAGAAGUCUGCCCCAAGGGCACCUCAAUCUUUUGGAGGCGGAGGUAGAGGUGGUUAUGGGGGUGGAGAUCGUCGAAGAGACUAUGGAGGUUCUGGUCCAGAUAGGCAUUCUCAUGGUGGAAAUCGUUCCCGUCCAUACUGAGAAUUUGCGUGGCAUAUAAUGUACUAAGAAAAUAUGUUAUCUUGAGGAAUUUUAUUGUAGUCUCGCUGCGGGGUUGUUCCCAAAAGGAGAUAAAGAGGUAGGUUGUUCGCUUACUUUGAGCAAUGCCCCUUUACUCCUUUAGUAGUUAACUUCGAGGGGUUUCUUUUUCCUAGGGUUUGGAUUGAUUUGAACUGUGUGACUGUCUUUUAUAGAGGCAAGUGGAUAAAUCUCCAAAAUUGCUGCUAAGAUAGUUGAACAUUUCAGAUUUUAGCUUGCAUUUAUGAGUCAAAUCAAGAUUUGGAAGCUGAUCAUUGAUUCUGCUUGGGCUUUUUUUGGUAUCAAUGCUGAUUUUGUUUUGCUGGAAACUAAUUUCACAUCAUUGAUUCUGAGGAUUGGAUGCCUAGCAUGUUUUAGAUCAAGAUCUUGCAGAUAACGAUUGAAUUUGGGAAAAAAAUGAACUGAAACUUACAGUGAGAUUCAGUAGGCUCUUGAAUUGUUUCAGUUUUGAGUUGAAAAUGGAACCAACUCAGAGUUCAGCCUCCAAAAAGAUGAUGGCCAUAUUUGAUUCUUCAUUCUUGAUCUUUUUUUUCUUUUUUCUUUUUUCUUUUUCCUGUUGAAUUCUUGAUCUCUUUAUUGUACCAGUAUUGUUGAUGUUGGUGCUUUAUAUUACUUCGUAGAUAGCCUUAGUGGCUUAGUUA